rnacentral:rRNA from 1 species
GAUGAACGCUGGCGGCGUGCCUAAUACAUGCAAGUCGAGCGAACAGACGAGGAGCUUGCUCCUCUGACGUUAGCGGCGGACGGGUGAGUAACACGUGGAUAACCUACCUAUAAGACUGGGAUAACUUCGGGAAACCGGAGCUAAUACCGGAUAAUAUAUUGAACCGCAUGGUUCAAUAGUGAAAGACGGUUUUGCUGUCACUUAUAGAUGGAUCCGCGCCGCUUUAGCUAGUUGGUAAGGUAACGGCUUACCAAGGCAACGAUGCGUAGCCGACCUGAGAGGGUGAUCGGCCACACUGGAACUGAGACACGGUCCAGACUCCUACGGGAGGCAGCAGUAGGGAAUCUUCCGCAAUGGUCGAAAGCUUGACGGAGCAACGCCGCGUGAGUGAUGAAGGUCUUCGGAUCGUAAAACUCUGUUAUUAGUGAAGAACAAAUGUGUAAGUAACUAUGCACGUCUUGACGGUACCUAAUCAGAAAGCCACGGCUAACUACGUG